UACGUAGGGUCCGAGCGUUGUCCGGAGUUACUGGGCGUAAAGCGCGCGCAGGUGGUUCCCUAAGCCCGGCGUGAAAGCCCCCGGCUCAACUGGGGAGGGUCACGCGAUACUGAUCGACUGGAAGGCAGGAGAGGGUAGUGGAAUUCCCGGUGUAGUGGUGAAAUGCGUAGAUAUCGGGAGGAACACCAGUGGCGAAGGCGACUACCUGGCCUGUUCUUGACGCUGAGGCGCGAAAGCUAGGGGAGCAAACGGG
rnacentral:rRNA from 1 species